AUUGUCUUCAAAGUACCAAUAUUUUCCUAUAACUUAAUGGUUUCAUAAUGUGAUGUUUUGUAUUAAUAACAAUCUUUUUAAGGUCACACAGUUAAUCACAUAUGUAUUAAAGAGCAGUUAACUAAUGAGGAUGGCAACUUAUUAAUAAAUUGCAGAUGAUACACUUCCGUUACUCAAUGUAACCUUUAAAGAGCAGAGCUAAGACUGAGGGUUGACUUAAAGACUUUUUGCCUCCCUUUUCCUAGAGUUUCUUCUUGAGUUUUUUCUUUCCCAAAGUCUAAGCUUUGCUUGUAUGCUUUUGUCACAGUCCUGCUGUAACCAUAUGGAGAGCUUUAGCAAAGCAAGAACAUGCAGCUGAUGCUUUGACAGAAAAGGUGAAGAGGUUACUCGAAUUGUACUACUGUUAAUUUGUCCUUUAAGCAUCUACAGCAGGGAGUCUAUAAUGGCACCUCUGGAUGCAGAAGAACAAAUCCCCAGAAUACCACCACCUCCUGUCAAUGAAAAUGGGAAGAGUAGAAAGCUCCAAGUAUCUCUUUAUGUUUCCCCAAUCAUCCAGGUAUACUGUUUUCAUCCUUUUAAUCAUACAGAUAAACCCCUUUUUGUCAUUUCUCAAUAUAUUACUGCAUCAUGAUCACAUAUAACAAAUAAAUACUUAAGUGUUGUCAAAGCCCGUGUUGCACAUGGUCAUAUAGCCAAACCUCCUAGAGCAGGGUACAGACAUACCUGUAUGUCUAGCUAACAUUAUCACAUGUGUUCUAGAAGUUCCCUGUACUA